rnacentral:rRNA from 1 species
UACGUAGGUGACAAGCGUUGUCCGGAUUUACUGGGCGUAAAGAGCGCGCAGGCGGUCGUUCAAGUCGAGUGUGAAAGCCCCCGGCUCAACUGGGGAGGGUCACUCGAUACUGAUCGACUUGAAGGCAGGAGAGGGAAGCGGAAUUCCCGGUGUAGUGGUGAAAUGCGUAGAUAUCUGGAGGAACACCGGUGGCGAAGGCGGCAUCCUGGACCGGUAUUGACGCUGAGGCGCGAAAGCUAGGGGAGCAAACGGG